UACAGAGGUCCCGAGCGUUGUUCGGAUUCACUGGGCGUAAGGGGUGCGUAGGUGGCAUAGAAAGUUUGAUGUGAAAGCUCAGGGCUUAACCCUGAAAUGGCAUUGAAUACUGCUGUGCUGGAGGUUUGGAGGGGGGACUGGAAUACUUGGUGUAGCAGUGAAAUGCGUAGAUAUCAAGUGGAACACCAGUGGCGAAGGCGAGUCCCUGGACAACUCCUGACACUGAGGCACGAAAGCUAGGGGAGCAAACAGG
rnacentral:rRNA from 1 species